UACGUAGGUCCCGAGCGUUGUCCGGAUUUAUUGGGCGUAAAGCGAGCGCAGGUGGUUUAUUAAGUCUGGUGUAAAAGGCAGUGGCUCAACCAUUGUAUGCAUUGGAAACUGAUAGACUUGAGUGCAGAAGAGGGAAGUGGAAUUCCAUGUGUAGCGGUGAAAUGCGUAGAGAUAUGGAGGAACACCAGUGGCGAAGGCGGCUUCCUGGUCUGCAACUGACACUGAGGCGCGAAAGCGUGGGGAGCAAACAGG
rnacentral:rRNA from 1 species